GGACGCGUAGCUCAGCGGGAGAGCAUUCGCUUCACACGCGAAGGGUCGCAGGUUCAAUCCCUGCCGCGUCCA
rnacentral:tRNA from 1 species